GUGGCUCAAGGUUAACUUCUCAGCUGUUAACUGAAAGGUUGGUGGUUCAAACCCACCCAGCCACU
rnacentral:tRNA from 1 species